UCUUAGUAAAGAAAAGGCUCUAGGAACUGG
rnacentral:piRNA from 1 species